rnacentral:lncRNA from 1 species
GUGCCUGCUACGGCUCUACGCCCCUGGCACUAUGACAGAUUAUGGAAGUCCGGGUGUGCCUGCUACGGCUCUACGCCCCCGGCAUGUAUAAGUAAGAAAGAUAGGGGCUAAAUGGUGACAAGUUCAUCCUUGUUAUGAAAUGUUUGUGUUAUGGCGCAUACAUGAAAGCAUGAUUUAAAUUGAUAUUUUAUUAUUCUGCUCACUGGGCUCUAGUAGCUCACCCCACUCCCUUUAUCCCCAGAGUUGCAGGUACAGGAUAGAUCAGGAAGUCGGCUAGAGUGAAGUUAAGUCAUGUAUGUUGUAAUAGAUAGAAGUGGACAUGAACAUGAUGUAAUGAAUAUUUAUGACCAUGUAAUGUAAUGAAUGAUUUGAUGAUGUAUUGAGGAUUAUAGUAGUGCUUGACCUAGAG